rnacentral:lncRNA from 1 species
UGAUAAUGAACAGGUUUCUCUGUGAAAUUUCUGAUGAUUUCAGCUGACCUCUAGCAUUAAAGUUCUUGUGACAUUUUGUGGGUUACCUAGGGUAGUUUGAUCAGCCGUGCUCCAUCUCUCAACUCAAAUUUAGACUGUCCUUCUCUCUGAUGAACUAGCUCUUCAUGAUCUUGAUUUUCCUUUCUCAGGAUAUAAUCAAUGUUUCAUUUAUUUUUUUAUUUUUCUGCUGUAAAAUACUGAUUCUUACAGGUUCUUAAAAUCACUUUGAUCAUCUCACAAACAGGGUGAGAGUGAAAGAGGAUAGUCACUUGUUACUUUGUGUGUUGUUGUGCUUUGCUUUUCUCUCUAUUUUUUUUUUCAAGGACAAGAAAGGGCUAUUCAGUGAAUUUUCCUUAAGCAAAAUAUUAUUUUUUCUUAAUACACAUAAAAAAACAAAACCUAUCUUGAAAUGACAGCAGCUUUUCAUAUUUGUCUCCAUUAUUUAGUAGUCACUCAUCCUUUGCAAGGAUAGCCCAGGAAGUGCCAAGUCUCAGGGGACAGAUUUCUUCUCAUUACCAUUUCAUAUCUAUGGAUCCUCUGACGGUGUCUUCCUCCAAGAUCCUUCUAGGUGAAAGGCUGAACAUGACUGUAAGGCUGUUGUCAUUACCCGUCUUCAAAGCAGGGCUGAAGAGGAUGUUCUUAGCCAGCAGUCUGUUUAUGCAAAAUACAUAAAUAGUUGCGGAAUUAAAAUGAUAUUUUCUACUGACUUUCUAUCAAUCAGGGGAUGAGAAUUGCAUCCUGCAAGCAUAUUGUAGAAAACAUCUAUGGAAAAUAGAUAUUUUUAAAGCAAUCUAAGGUGUUGUACUUUUCAUAAGAAAAUACAACAUAAAAGCAGAGCAUAGGAAUAAUAAUGUCCUUAUAUACACAUUUUAUCAAUGUAAAUGUGUCUUUUUAAAAAGAUAUCAUGGCCUCCUGAUGAAGAGAAAUAUCACAGAACUAUACCGUGAAGCAUUGAAUGCAUCAUGAGAAGGAUAUGCCCUGACAACAAAAACAAACCCUUGAUGGUCAAUAAAGACCACCUGAUUAAAUCA